rnacentral:rRNA from 1 species
CAAAUUUGAAAUCUGGCAGUCUUAUGGCUGUCCGAGUUGUAAUCUAGAGAAGUGUUUUCCGUGCUAGACCGUGUACAAGUCCAUUGGAACAUGGCGUCAUAGAGGGUGAGAAUCCCGUCCAUGACACGGUGACUAGUGCUCUGUGAUACACUCUCAACGAGUCGAGUUGUUUGGGAAUGCAGCUCAAAAUGGGUGGUAAAUUCCAUCUAAAGCUAAAUACAGGCGAAAGACCGAUAGCGAACAAGUACCGUGAGGGAAAGAUGAAAAGCACUUUGGAAAGAGAGUUAAACAGUACGUGAAAUUGUUGAAAGGGAAACGCUUGAAGUCAGUCGCGUCUUCAGAAAUUCAGCUAGUGAUACUAGUGUACUUUUCUGUUAGACGGGCCAGCGUCAGUUUCAGCCACCAGAAAAAGGUGAGAGAAAGGUAGCAUCCCCGGAUGUGUUAUAGUCUCUUAUCUUAUAUGGUGGCAGGGACUGAGGAAUGCAGCACGCCCUUGUUGGCCGGGGUUCGCCCACGUAACGUGCUU